GCGCUGGUGACGCUGUUGCAACUUACACCGCGCUGAUGCUUUUCCGUCUUGUGGUUGGGCGUUGCAGGUUGACCGUAUCUUGUUUUUUCCUUUUUUGAUCUUUUUAAGUUCGGGUUUUAUUUUCGAAGCUGUAUAGCCUUGCUCUAUCUAGUCUAAUGUUUGCGACAAGUUUAAUUUUAGCGUCUUGAGCAUUAUUGAUCAUUAUUUUAAUGCAAGUACUUUAAAUCUCUAGAUGUAACGUGUUUUCGGUUUGUUAAACGCUUUUUAGUACUGCUUUAUUGCAAAUGAUUAAGAUUGUAGAAGAUAAACACAAAUUCUACUUAGUCAGAUCAAAGGCCUGAUUCUUGUUUUUUUGCCGAGGGCUGUUGAGCUAACGCUAGGCUUAGCCAGCCAAAUGUAUAAAUUUGUGCUAGCAUUGUCAGUUAUUCCGCAACAGUUAUUUUUUUUUUAGCUGUCAUGUUUAGCGUUUGUCUAGCGGUUAUCUUGCUUUUUAAAAAUAUAUUCCAAGUAACCAUUUUUGGUCAUACUAACAGCAGUUGGCUCGAGAUGGGAGCUGUAACGUAGAAACGUGUAAACGUCGUCUAUUGGCUAAUUCAAUUAACGUCAUGACGUAAGUAGACGGCAGUGGAAAAGGGAGUGGUCAGACUGACGGCCAUUAUCAGCCUUCACGUAGUGCUUUUCGAGAAGGUGUAGAAAGCUUUUAGCAACAAAAUGGCAGAGGAACAUUUUUCAUACUUUUGAAAUUAAUAAGGCAGUGAAGUUAAGUGCCUAAUUAGGUUCCUAAAGAGUACUGACUUUGCAAUGUGGUCUCUAAGAUUAGAUCACAAUGUAACUACAGUUGACGGAGUCUGUUAAAUAUUCGAAAAUUCGUUUUUAUUCCGAAGAAAGAAAAUAAGGAUGUCUUGUCGUGAUCAGACGCAGAUUAUGAGAAGUGCUAGUAAUUGUAUUUAAAACGGAGGGUUUAUGUAAGCUCGGAGGUGCUAUCGAACUACGAUAGACUAGACCAGCCUGUGUUUAUUUAAAAAAAAAAAAAAGCAUCAGGAACAGAUUAAGUAACAACAGCGUCAAAGAAGCAAUGAAGACGUUUUUAUUUUUGUUUGAUAGCUGUUACUUGGAUGAGGUCCUUACCUCUGUCUUUUCACUCUUAUCCCAUUGAUCGGGGAAGCAUUUUGCAAUGCGAAGUUUUUUAUUUAAUUUUUUUUAAUCGACAUUUUCGCUCAGUUUCCAUCAGUCAUUAGACUUGAAGUUUCAAGCUAUCAAUUCUGCAUUCAAAGAAAGAAGAUAGCAUAAGUCAAGUAAUGCUGAAGAAUGGAAGCUUAUCUUAGAGCUCUAGUAGUAGCUCAAGCAAUAUCAAGUUCAGAUUUAUGGACCUUGAGAAGAAAUUAAAAAAAAAAAAAAAAAAGGUUCAUCACUUAGGGAAGACAGAAGACUUUUUUUUGGGGGGGGAGAUGGACUGAGUUAUCACGGGGAGGAAUGGACUUAGUUAUUAGAUGAAGAUCGAAGGACGGCUUGGAGCGAGGUCGCGGGACACGGGGAGGACCACAGAGGAGCCAGCCAGGCAGGACAGGACCAGAGGGCGUGGGAGGACCAGUGUGGAGCCAGGCAGGACAGGACCAGAGGGGCGUGGAGGGGAGGAGCAGAGGGGGCCAAGAGAGCAGGAAGCAUCAGGAGCUGUCGGCCAGUGUGUACGCCAGAGGGAGCCAGAAACGCAGGGCAGUGUAGAAGCGCAGUGACCAGCCCCGAUGCCGAUCCAGUGCUGAGAGGGUGGGACAAGGGCGUGCAGACUUCUAGCGUCACAAGUUUAAAGCGGGGCUUUGGUUUGUAUACUGGGUAGAGGUAUUUCUGUAACACUCAGUAUUUGGUUUUUGUACUUUCCAGAAACAUCUGUUGUCGAACAACUUCUCGCACAGCUCUCUCUUCCUCUUUUCAGGCAAGCCGUGUAAAGUGUUUUGUACCGUGGUCACCCCUCCUGUUGUGCGCUGAAAUGUGUGGUGGUGUCUGCUGUGAUGAAUGCCUUGGUAGUGUGCUGACGAGGAGCGUCUUAAUGGACUUCUCUACCCCCCUGCGAUCACAAGUAGUUUCCACAAGCGGAGGGAGAGGCAGUCCUUUUGUUGUUCGAUAGGUCUUCCCCCAGAGAAGUUUUCUGCAUUGGAGUGUGAAAGUGGAUGGUCUCCCAUACGGCCAAUUGUGUAUUCGGCAACUCUUCGGUACUUCAGCUGCGCCUCUUUGGUACAGAUCAGCUACAUCUACCUCUUAAACCCAAGCUGUGAGUUAAUGCAUGGAAUGUACAUGUGGGUGUAACUAUCCUGUACAUUAACUCAUCAUUACAUUUCAUAAGUAUACAGUAAUGACUUCACUCAAAAGGGAAUUUGCAUUGAAAUGGUAGUUGAUCCUGGUGGGUAAAUAUUUUUGGCUUAAGGGGAGGGGUGGGAUGGGGGGGUUGUUAAAACUUGUUUGGAGUCUUUCUUUUUACAGGCCUGGCCCCCUAACGCGAUCAUCGACAGAAUCCCCCCCCCCCCUUUCUAGCUGCUUGGUACAAGUUGAGCUCAUCCUAUAUACAGUAGUGAUAUGGAUCGAGAUCAUGCGCAUCCACUGUGCUUAAACGAGAUAUAGAAAGGGGUGGGUUGUGGGGCGUUAAUCCGUCUCUUCCUAGACUUCACAGCUCCACAUUGCCCAGUGCACAUGGCUUGAAUAGGAAACAUCCAGGCGCAAGCAACAAGAUUCAACUGGACACUUAACAACGCAAGAUAGCAACCUCAAAAGUAGUCUUCUGAUGUAGUGAAGCUCCUUUCCCCCAGGGAGAGUGCGAUUAACUUUUAAGGCCCAUCCUUCAAAAAGCUACGUCCAAGUCCAUGCCUACAGUUAAGGAAGGAGUCCCUCAUACUCAGGCCUGUGGUAUUUUAAAUGUUUCUUAUGGCAAAUGGCUUCAAUCUUUUGUGAAUUGUAUUUGUAGUCUUAAAGUUGGGCUUGUUAAAGCAGUUGCUGUAAUCCCAGUAGUGUCUUGUAGUUUUCUACAAUGUUACUUUAAUGCCAGUGUUGUAGUUUUCUACCAUAUUGUAUUAGGGCAGGGGUGUUGUGGGGAGAGGCUUUUCUUUGCAUUUUUUCAGUGUGCUGUGUCCUGUGUGCUUUCAAUACCCAAGACCAUCAGGAACUCCUAACUCAUUGUAUGUACAAGUUUCCUUGCGCAUCGAGCAUCACGUAAGGUGGCUAAAUGUGAUCAUUUACUUUAACAUUCAUUAUUUGGCUAAUUGCCUUCAUUGCAAUUCCUUUGCAAUUAGUUACUUUGCUUUGUAUCGCCAAUACAAUGAGUGAACUAUCUGUAAAGGAUUUUCUUACUGCAUAAUAAAUGCAUAGCUUGUUGUGAUUGAAUACAGUUUUGGUAUGCAUUUGUUCUUUUUGGGGGGGCUUGUGUGGGGGAGCUUUUCUUGUGCUUUUUCAGGUAUGACUAAAGCUUGGAGCUUUGUAGAGCACGGAUGUGACCUGGGCUCGAAUGACUUCUAUUUCAAAGUGGAAAGUGAAGGCAGAUAAGUUGAAUCCAUCAAAUAUUGAUGUCGAAAAACAGAAAAUUCUCAGCCCUAUAGGGGUCACUUAUCUUGACUGGACUUGCGUGUCCUCAUUCUUGAAAUGAAAGCAACUUGCUAUACUUGACAGUAGAAAUAGCACUCCUGUGCUUUCUUAACAAGUCACUUGUGAUAACGGGAAGAUUUGAUGGACCUUCAUUGAUUCUGACAUUAUCUGCAGUAAAGCAUUUGGGUAAGGAUAACAAUAGUCAGUUCUACGAUACUGUGGGGAGGGGUAUAGGGGUGUUUCUUUUCUGCCUCUUUGCUCUUACAGAACAAUCCAAAGGAAGAAAGCAGUGUACCUAGGAGAACACAAGAAUCACGCUGCGCUUUGAACUCCACCAACAUGCAGUUUGAACAAAAGGAGUCAGGUUUUUGAUGUUUACAUAUAUUAGAGCAUUUAGCCCUCAGCUGCUUGCCCUUGUGCAACUGUGCAAGUGGCAGGUUGGUCACCUUAGCAAUCGCGCAACUGUGCGAAGUUUCAAAAUUUAAGCAGCUGAGGAAAGCUGCGCAUGGUGCGGCUUAAUUUGGUCUGAAAUGCAGCGCAAAUGUGCUGCCUUAGUUUCUAUUGUGUUGUGGUUGGGCGUAUCCCUACACUUCUCUUCACAGAACUCACAGUGCAAGACUGGUUCAAGCACGAGUCAAGUCCUAACCCGGAGCAUGUAGUAAGCUGUUGGCUUUACUUGUCAAAACUUCUGCAAUGUUGUAGUUGACAAAAUGACAUCUUGGAACUGGCUUUAUGUUAACCUCAAAUCAUCAGUAACAAUGCUUUACUAGCUUAUUCCUCUUUGGCCUUGGGGCCCUAUUGCUUUGCAUCUUACAACCAUAAGAUGAGUAGAACCCAAAUCUUUUGAGUAUUGUGUGGUGGGUGUGUUGUGUAGAUCACUCUUUGUUUCAGAUCAUUCUCGUCUGUCCACUCCGAUCUCGCCUGCCUCUGAAUGCAAAGCCAUCUGUGGAAGCUGUCAGCGAUAUGAGUGUGGCCCCUGAAUGAAGUACCAAUCCCCUGUGCGCUUGAGCUUAAAUCUGAACCCCUGACGUCCUUCGCAGAAGCCCCCGCUCUCUGUGUUUGUGUGCCUUUUUCUUUCCCUUUGGUUUCUCAGGUCAAAUUACCCCAAAUUCUUAAUUUUUCAUCUGGGAUGGCCUAACCUGUGAUGGAACACUGAGAAUCCAGUCACAUUAAGAUCAAGAGCUGCAAGCUUGUUUUCGCUAAUACUGCAUCACUUCAGUCUCGUGGGUGCUAAGUUAAGUAAUUUCGGUUCCCUUGAUUUUUCUUUAACAUACCAUGGCUUUAAUGUGUAACUCAACAUGUUGCAUGCACAUCAGCUAUGCAUAACAUUUUAUUUGUAAAACAAUGUUCAUAAAGUCGUUGUCAAACAUUGCAGUAGUAUUAUGGUUAGGAGGGUCUGGGGGGGGGGCAAACACUCUUCUUUCUCCCUUUUUCAGAUUUCUCAUUCAGCUUAACUUGCUACUGAACCAGAGAACUUAAAGGUCUGCAGGGAGUCAUUGGAUCACUUGGUACUGCCAGCCUCUAGGGUUCAUUUAAUACAUUGAAGAGCUGAGCAUCAGAGGAAGAAUAGCUGUGGUAAAUGCUGCAUCAGCUGUGGUAAACUACAACAAUGUUGAUAAAUUCAAUCUCCCAUCAUAUUGGAUGAGUCUUGGUACAAGUGUGGGGUUUGGGUGGGGGGGGGGGGCUUAAAUUGUCUGUCUUUUUUCCCAUUGCAGCCAUAAAAUUGGCAAGAAAGCCUUCACUGUCAGUUGACCCGCGACUCGUGCUGAAUUGCAGAGGGGAAAAUCGCUUUGACAAGGGAUUCUGGUAUCGUGGUUUUAUUAUGGCUAAACGGAUUUCGUGGAAUAAUACACCAAUACAGUGUCGCUGUGGGGAAUUUUGGGGAUUGGGGAAACCAGACGUCUCUCUGUUCUAGUUUCAGCCUCGUGACCAAGAGAAUCCCCGUGGUGACAGCAUAAUUAGCAUCCAGGUGUCGGGUUUUCUUUUCCUGGAAGAACAUUUGUUCUUCCAAAUGUUCUUCCAGGUUUUGCUUUUGCCCUAACUAGCAAAAACAAAAAGCAAAAGACUCCGGUGAUGGCACUCCUGACUCUGUCGGGACGGGGUUCAAUUCCCUGCGGUGUCUUGCUUUUUUAAAAUAAGCUUUGUGGGGCUGAAAGUAUAUUUAAUAACACUUCAACUUUAAAAUGGCUUCCAUAAAAGGACAAUGUCUGGGUGGGGAAAAUAUUUGUAUGGAAAUGAUCAAUAAAACUUUAAAACAAUGUCUCUGUUUUUGUCUCUGUUCUAUCGAUAAUUACAUCAAUAUUCUGUAAAUGACUUGAUGAGGUGGGCAUAAUGCAUAAAGAUUACUUCACAUUGUAUUCCGGCUGUCCUGUGAUGAUUAGCAACAGCUUUAUAAACCUCAUUUUGCAGUCUGUGUCCUGGACACGACCCUUCUUGAGGUCCAUGUCACAUGAUAACAAAUGGAAGAGGUGAGGUCAGGAAAGAAGACCUGAGGGGAGCAGGCAUCCAACAAAAGUCAUCCUUGCUCUGGAUCCUCUUUAGUACAACAGCAUAAAACAGUCCAGCUAUUGCUGUAUGUUUUGAUCUCAGCUCUUCUAUGAGAUAACUAUGCAGAGUAUCAUGAACAAUAACAGCUAGCUCUGAAGUAGCAUUUUGCUAUACAUGUAUGUUAUUUUUGGGGG
ensembl:lncRNA